GUCCAGUUGAUGUGUCCCAAAUUGAAUGAAACGCGCGUCCUGGAU
rnacentral:hammerhead_ribozyme from 1 species